rnacentral:lncRNA from 1 species
AGCCAGAAGCCCAGGACUGUGGCGGUGCCGCCAGAGUUUGCCUUCGCGCGCGCGAGUGUGGUCCCAACUCUGAGGACCGAAGCCACCCACCGGAGACACCACUCCGGCUGCCUGUGCCCAGCGGGAUCGAGGCCUCGGGCCGUUCCACCUGGGUGCGCGCGGCUCUCGCCUGCAACCCCGCCUUCCCUGCCCAAGUCUCGCAACUCACCGCCCGACCCUCCUGCGGGAUGCGCGCGGCGAGGCGUCCGCCCGCAGCUCCGGGCUAGCUCAGAUCUGCGCGCGGCGGCCUUCCCUCCCCUCGGAGGUGGGUCUGGCGGAGCCGCAGCUGUUACCCGGAGACCGAGGGGCGGAAAAAACUGCGCCCGCCGCCCGCCCCUCCCGCCGCGGCGCUGCCUCCGCUGGGAACAAAGGAGACAAAGCCGCGUCGGCCGGCCCGGGCUCCGCUCCUUCCACCCCCCCACCCCCCGCCCGUCGGGCCGCCCUCCCCCCGCGCGCCGCCCGGACCAGGCCGGAAGCUGCCGGGAGAACGGGGUACGCGGCCCCAGCCAUCCGGGACCCCGCAUUCCGGUCCCGCGGGAUCCGAGUUUGUGAAGGGCCUGGGGGGGUGAUCAACCCCUCUCAUUAAAUGGGGGCUGCAGCGCCCGGGCGGUAGUCAUGGCAACGCAGACGUGUAGGGUGAGGAGCGGAGCCGGGAGCGUGGGCGGUCCGCCCCGCCCAGCCGGGCCUCACCUGCGCGCCGCUUAGGACCAAGAGGCUACGGCCAUGGUUGCGAGCCUUAUUACCUGGGCGUUGAGAUACAGCACUGGAGCCUUUCCCCGUCCUGCCAGAGUUCGAGGGACUUGUGCCCCACACCUGCUCUGCCUGUUCCAUAACCACCAUCUUGACUAUCCCCAACGCACCUCGCCCAGCGCCCGGAGCGCCCUCAUUCCCUUCUAGAUCCCGGCCCUUGGAGCCAUCCUCUCCCCCCAACUUUCUUCACCUGGUCUCCUAGACGCCAGCUUCUCCUCUUCUCACCUGGCCCUGCCCACCUUUCCUUCUUUCAAUACUCCACAACACCCAACCUCUCCUUCCGGCCCCCACCCCUGGCUGUUUGAAGAGAGCCCGGGCUUUGGACCUGAGUUUGCGCCAUCACUAAGCCAUGUAACCUGACACCCCUUCCCCCCCCACACACACACACCCCGACCUUUUUGCUCCCUGACUAAUAGGGGGUAAUACCACCAAAGCUGAACUGUGUAAGCAGGGCAUACUGGCUGUGAGGUGCAGAAGUAGGGUCUUAUUUCCUUCCCUCCUCCACGGCCUGUACCUGGAGCCAUGCAGAACUCAGAAGCCUUGAGCAAGUCUGGACUCCCUCCUUGGAAAACACCUGGGUCUUUCUGGGAAGGAAACCCUGGGCAGAGGUUCUCUCCUGAGGGCUUUAUGCAGGGCGGUUCACACCCGGGCUUGCCAAUGGCAAUCUGUGGAGCCAGGACCUGACCCAUCCUGAGGGCUUUUGAAGGACUUUGGCUCAAGGCCAUUGGCAUAGUGUCCAGAAAGGGAAAAACUGCAUAUACGUCACCUGGAAGCCUCUAAGGUUAGAGGGCUCUAAAUCGGGGGAAGCCGUCUUCCGUAUCUGCCACUUCACUAAGGGCUGAUGCCAGGCUGCUCUACCAUCACACCCUCAGACUCCCGUGGGGUGGGGUGGGGGUGGGGUGCUGGCUUGAUUUAUGUCAACUUGACAGAAGCUUGAGUUAUCUGAAAGAAUGAACUUCAGUGGAGAAAUCGCUCCAUAAGAUCCCCCUGUAGGGCAUCUUCUUAAUUAGUGAUUGACAGGGGCGGUCCCAGUCCAUUGAGGGUGGGGCCCCCCUGGGCUGGUAGCCCUGGGUUCUGUAAGAAAGCAUACUGAGCAGUAAGCGGCACCCCUCCACGAGGUUCUGGCCCUGCUUGAGUUCCUGUCCUGUCCUGUCCUGUUCUGUUCCUGUCAGUGAUUAACAAUGAUGUGGAAGUGUAAGCCAAAUAAACCCUUUCCUCCCCAA